rnacentral:tRNA from 1 species
GCUCCCGUAGUCUAACCUGGAUAGGACAGGGCCCUGCGGAGGCUCUAAUCCGAGUUCAAAUCUCGGCGGGAGCA